UACUGCUCUAUGUGCUCCUUUA
rnacentral:miRNA from 1 species